UGAGCAAUCUGCCUCUCUUCGGUAAGUAAAGACGUGGGAACGGACGUCUA
rnacentral:rRNA from 1 species